rnacentral:lncRNA from 1 species
AUCUCCUUGAAGACACUGAGGCCUACGUCGAGGUGGCCCAACAGUCAACCCCUGAAAAAGGCGGUCACAAAACCCCCAGGAGACGAAGAUGACGGCACGUCGUGACCCCAAACCUGGGGCAAAGAGACUGGUGAGAGCCCAGACCCUCCAGAAGCAGCGGAGGGCCCCAGUUGGGCCAAGGGCUCCCCCGCCCGAUGAAGAAAAUCCCAGGCUCAAGUACAAAAACUGCAGGGCCCUUGGCCACACGGUCAGAAGUACCAGGUGCCCCAUGAAGUGCUGGAAGGCAGCCCUGGUUCCACCGACCUUGGGGAAAAAGGAAGGGAAGGAAAACCUGAAACCAUGGAAGCCCCAGGUUGAAGCCAACCCGGGGCCCUUGAACAAGGAUAAGGGAGAGAAGGAAGAGAGACCAAGGCAACAAGACCCGCAGAGAAAGGCUCUCCUCCACAUAUUUUCCGGGAAACCUCCAGAGAAGCUGCUGCCAAAUCGAAAAGGAUCCACGGAAUCUUCUGUUUUUCUGAGGGUUGCAAGCCGGCCAAUGCCGGUCCACACAACAAGUAAGAGGCCGUGCGUGGACCCUGAACUCGCUGAUCGCUCAGCUACCGAAAUGUCUGGCAGAGGCUCCGUCUUGGCUUCACUGUCUCCCCUCAGAAAAGCCAGUCUGAGAUCCUCCUCAAGUCUUGGACCAAAGGAAAGACAGACAGGUGCUGCGGCCGACAUCCCUCAGCCUGCAGUCAGGCACCAGGGCCCCGAGCCUCUCCUCGUGGUGAAGCCGACACACAGCAGCCGUGAGGGUGGCUGCCGAGAAGUUCCCCAGGCUGCCUCCAAAACCCACGGCCUGCUCCAGGCCGUCAGACCCCAGGCACAAGACAAACGUCCUGCGGUGACCUGACAGCCCGGCCCACCAGCCGCCACACACAGCUUGGGCCUAGGCUCCAAUCUCAGCUUCAGACCAGGAGCCAAGAGACCUGCCCAGGCUCCGAUUCAGGGUUGCCUGAACUUCCCCAAGAAACCGAGACUGGGUCCCUUCCAGAUCCCCGAAAGCGCCAUCCAGGGAGGUGAGCUGGGGGCCCUGGAGAAUCUCCAACCUCCGCCAGCAGCAACCGAACUUGGACCAAGUACGUCGCCCCAGAUGGGCAGGAGGACACCCGCCCAGGUGCCCGGCGUCGACCGGCAGCCUCCGCACAGCAGACCUUGCCUGCCCACUGCCCAGGCCUGCACCAUGUCCCAUCACCCAGCGGCCAGCCAUGAUGGGGCCCAGCCUCUCAGAGUGCUCUUCCGGAGACUAGAAAACAGACGCUGGAGCUCCAGCCUCCUGGCGGCCCCCUCAUUUCACUCUCCUGAGAAGCUGGGAGUCUUCCUCGCUCAGAGCCCUCAUGUGUCAGAGAAGUCUGAGGCUCCCUGUGUUCGUGUCCCACCGAACGUCCUCUAUGAAGACCUUCAGGUUUCCUCCUCCUCAGAGGACAGCGAUUCUGACCUGCAGUGAGACUGCAGGUGGCAGGGGCUCCUUGGCCUCCAGCUCCCGUGACUUGGAGGGGACUGUGGGACUGAGGAGCGCAGAGCAGAGAGCAGACUCUGUGCGGUGACUCCGAAGCUCCCCGGCUGUGGCGCUUCUGUGGAUGUGGGAGCCCAGGCCAGGCAGGGAGCAGAUGCAGGGACUCUGCCUCAUUGAAUUCUGGUGAGGGACGUUGUAGUUCGCGUGGUUCUCCGGAAACGCGCCAGGAAAAGCUUCCGUGCCAGAGAUUCGUUGCCUCAGAAACUGCGUGACGCGCAGGAGUCAGACUUCCGCUGGGACGUCAAUAGGAAACUGGGGAAUUACUGUGUAUUUGCUCUCUAGAUGACUGAAUAAGGGAAAAGUUAGGGAACCCUGAGAGGUGCAGCCCUUCCGCUGUGCCCCGCCCUGAGAGCAGUGUUUCGGACGCUGGGAAGCGUGCUGUGCGAAGCGCUCUCGGGGUCUUUCCUCAGCCUCGAAAACUGGGCUCUGGAAUGCCUUUGUAAACAGGUGUGUUGAAUUUGUUUUGAAGUGAAUAAAAUUCUCAAAAAGA